GCGGGGCUCGGCGCCGGGGCCGCCCGGGUCGUUCAUCCGUGCGCGCCGGGCUUUAGCGCGUUCUGCGAGCGUUCACCGCCGGCGUCGAGGGAACCGCGUUCUCGCGGGGAGGAAAGCUCCAAGCCCGUCCCUCGCGCGGUUCUCCAGGCUCCCCUAGAGAUGUCCUGGUCACCAAAUCUGCCUCUGAACUGACCCUGCAGUGGACAGAGGGCAACGCCGGCCGGGCACCUACCACGGGCUACGUCAUAGAGGCCAGGCCCUCAGAUGAAAAAUGGGAUGCCUGACUGCACUGGGGAAGACAUGGCACAAGCUGACUUCACAUACAGAAAGUACCUUUAUUUUGAUUGGCAAGGUCUUACAUUAGGAUUAAGAACAGACGUGGUGGAGCUGGUGCUGGGGUAAUAAGAAUGCAGUAGAGACCACAGUGGAGGAGGAGCAUCUCAUCAGACAUUCUUUAUCUUCUAAAUCCCUUCCAGUUCCUUUGUUACCCUCACCAACCCCGUGCCGUACAUUUAUCAUGUGAAUAGUACUUCUCGAAAUAAAAAUCCCAUGAACCAUUUUCCUAGUCCCUUCUGAUCACCCAUGAAUGAAUAUAACCAUUGUAUGAAAAGCCCAAACUUAAACUUUCAUAAAAUAAUCCUCAAAACUCCUAUGCUUUAAAUUACUAAAGCUCAUCUUUAUUUUGCAAUUGAACAAGUAAGUCACAGCUAGUUUUUUUUCACGUUUGUACCUGAACAACUAUUUCUCAAUCAAAAUGAAAUAUGGCCAACAAAACAUUUCACGACAUAAAUUCCUUAGACUAACACAGUUUUAAUGCAAAUCAGCAUUUCAUUGUUUGCUGUUAGUAUUUGUAGAUGUUUUGUACAUGAAUUAUAGUAAUUCUAAUUUUUCACUGUAGUUAAGACAAACACACAAGGACUUUCAAGCAUACAGUAAGUUGCAGUGACAAAUGCAUAGUGAUGCUUUCAAAUUAUCCAGUGUUGACCAAAUUCAAGCCUAUACAUUUUAAAUGAACUCUAUGCUGCUUUGCCUCCUUAAUUGUGGGAACAAACCAUAUGGAAAGAGUUUUGUGAAAUGGGGAGAGUUAGUUUAAAACAUUAGGGGGCUAAUUCUGUAAGUAUACAAUCAAACCUGAAAUGGCAGCAGAACUGUAAAACUAUAUUUUAAUUAGGAAAUUAACAAGUUUGUAAAGAAGUGACUUUGACCUUUCAUAUUUAGAUAUAGCACCUGUUACGAGAAAGUAAAAUCCCAAUUAAAACUAUCUAGAAAUAAUUACUUUUAAACAACUAUAAAAUAAUCAUUGAUGAAUACAUAGUAAACUAUCUGUCCUAAAAUUAGGUCUAUAUUUUAGAAAAUGCAGACUAGCUUUUCUUAUUUGAAAAGAUUUUAACAUGGAUUGUAACUGUAAUGUCUUGGUGCUGCAGAAACACUAUAUUGGACUGUUUUUAUUUUUUUAAGCACAUUCUAGUGAUAGAAAAUGAAAAGUUUAACGUAAACUGGUUUUAGUUUUAUAAAUUCUGCUCUUCGACAUGGAUAUAGUGUCAGGAAUUUCCCCUUCAAAUUACUUGUGGUGCAUUGAUUUAACCCCUACGUGCAAACUCAAAACAAAUGGAUUUCCACAUAUUCUCUUAAUGUACAAAACUACAAAGCAGAAAUGUUUAUAGUAAACCAAACAUUGUAGGAGCUAGCUGAGAUAACUCAGUCCAGCAAGACAGUCAUUUGUGUAGCUUUUAUUGUACUAAAUUACAAAAAAAAAAGCAAAGCUAAAAGUCACAUAAGUAAUUUUUAAAAUAUCAAAGGAUCAAAAGAUGAUCACUAAAGCAUUUAAACUUGGGUCUAAUCCAAAGGGCUCUACAUACUAAUCCAUUAAUUUUGCCCCCUAUUUAUAAAACUCCUAGGAGAGAUUUUUAUGUAUCAACUCAGUAGUAUGAAAUAAAGUGCUACUAUUAGAAAUUCAAGAAUUUUAGCAUUGAAAUUUUUGACCUACACUACAGAUUACAACAAAGAAUGAAUAAUUUUAACUCCCUGCAGGAUGGAAAAAGACAGAUGCCACAGAAACCCAGAAUUGGGCUGAAAUUUUCUUGUCCAGGAAGGCAAAUUACUAGAACACUGUGAUUCAAGAGUAGAAACAAAAAGGCUUCUUUUCAUAAAAGAUAUAGGUGUGUAACAGAGAUGAUGAGAAUUCUGAGCCUUGUUUGUGGCAAUUCUACCAGAAGGGGACUGCAUGGCACCACCACAGAAUUUCAUAAAUUACCCUGAACAUACUCAGUUAUUCACUAUUUGUUCGGAGCAAAGCAUGAAAUAGUCUUCAAACACAUGAGUUAUAGAUUUUUGAGAGUGACAUUUUUUUUAAACAUAAAGUGCAACAGUGCUGAAGUUUUCAGUUUUUGUGAGUUCUUCAUUUUUUUUUGUUGUUGUUGUUGAGAAGCCAUUUCCUGCAAGCAGUAUUAUGGCACAGUGAAUAAAAUGGAAAGCAGUUUUCCAACACAUAUUCCAGAAUUUUUGCUUUCUUAUUUAUUUGAUGAUGUCGUUAAGGGUUUAACAAAUCCUUCUUCAUAAACUUUCAAAAUAGCUUCACAUA